ACAGACAACCAUCGUACAGCUGACUGCAUCUCCCUCUCUGGAAAUGGCUCCGUUCUUAGUUUCAUUUUUGGCCAUGCGACCCGAUAGGAGUCCUCUCCCUCCUCAGCGUUUGUCCCCUUCUGAUAUUUCAUGCAACACGGAGAAAGGAGGAAGCAGAAUGCCGUGACAUUGAGGUUUAUUGCUGAUUCUGCUCACGUCGGUUGAAAUCAGUCACUAAACCUCAGCCGGCAGAACCCCGUGCGCUGUGUUUUUCUUGCCUAGGUAAUCGCGAUGGCAGCAGGGGGAGGCACUUUUCAUCUCCGAGUGUUCGCGAGUGAAGCCAAACCAUGCAGCUCUGCUCUCGGGGCUGCAAUUACCAACACUGUGCACACGGAAAGCGAAGCUAGAGCAGCACCAGCCAUAGCCGGUCGCUUGGGGAACACGUCCUGCGAGACAAGUGCAUGUCCCUGUGAUGUAGCGAGCUGGGGAGGUGCUCCCCUCCAAGGGCACAAAGCAUGGAUGAAGCUGCCUGUGCUACAGCUCCUUGACCUUGGUGUUAGAACCAAUGGUUUCGUGCUGUUCACCUUCCGAGCCCUCCUGGUGCCUGGGCACUAAGAGCCCAUGGAAUGAGGAUGGCUCCUCAGUGGUGAAGAACAGGAGGACCAGGUGGGCCAAUGGCUUGGUCAACACAGCUCUGGGCCGACAUAUCCUUUUGGAAGCUGCCAACUUGCCAGCAUGGCUUCUGGUUUCUGACUGCCCACUGCAGGACUUCUUUGCACACAUGGUUGUUGCGCUUCUUCCAUGUGUGCAUUGAACCUCCUGCCCCCCGCCAGCUUAGGCCAACUCUCUGCCAGAACAUAGAAUGAUGGAAUCAUUCAGGUUGGAAAGACUGAUAAGAUCAUCUAGUCCGACCAUCAGCUCGUGUGUGUGACUGCUGUACACCAUGCCACUCAGUGCCACACCUCCAUGGUUCUUGAACAUCUCCAGGGAUGGUGACCCCCCACCUCCCUGGGCAGCUGUGCCACUGCAUCACCACUCUGAGAAGAAAUUUUUCCUACAGCACUGAAUGCUGUGAUUCAUAAGGGCUCUCCCAUUCUGCUUCUCCCCCUAGGAGGCUCGUGCUGUAUUAUCCAGCAUCUAAAGCUAAGUGGAGUGAAAGCCCAAAAUCUAAUUUUGAAAAUAAUAAUAAAAGAAGAUUUAAUCAUGUGUCAUCUGUGCUCUAUGCCACUCCGGUGAAUCAUAACCCUUCGUUACCAGCGAGUUUCAUGGUUUAGGAUCCCAGUGCCAGCACAGAAACCCUGAGCCCAGCAGAUCACCGCAGCUUUGACCUGCUGCAAGGAUUUGGUCACCUCCGUGUGUCUCAGCUCCCAGCUGACCCGGUGCUUCGCUCUUUUAUUGUCUGUGCACAAUCUCUCCCACCGUGCCAAGAGUUCUGUAUUCUUCAUUUCUCUUCCGUCUCUGAUGCCACAAAGUCAAGUGAAUGUCUUCAAGGAAAUCUCAGUAAUAAAACCUAUUUCCUCCUCCCUGCUGC
ensembl:lncRNA